rnacentral:ncRNA from 1 species
AUAAUGGCACUGACGGGAAGAAGUAACCGUGCAGCACGCUUCAGAGAGCCUCCGGUCGGUGAGAGGGGGCAGCGGGCGGCGAGUGAAAUACAUCCCCGAGCCGCUGCGCCGAACCGGGAGUAAGCGCAGCCGGGAGCGCCCGUUAAAGCGUGAGGGUGAUCUUCACCCGCUGAGGGGGCUUGCCGUGAGGCGGCUUCAAAUAGAGGUGGUACCGCGAUAAUUCGCCCUCUGU